UACGGAGGGAGCUAGCGUUGUUCGGAAUUACUGGGCGUAAAGCGUGCGCAGGCGGUUUUGUAAGUCAGCUGUGAAAUCCCCGGGCUCAACCUGGGAAUGGCAGUUGAGACUGCAAGGCUAGAGUGUGUCAGAGGGGGGUAGAAUUCCACGUGUAGCAGUGAAAUGCGUAGAGAUGUGGAGGAAUACCGAUGGCGAAGGCAGCCUCCUGGGCCAACACUGACGCUCAUGCACGAAAGCGUGGGGAGCAAACAGG
rnacentral:rRNA from 1 species